GGGUCCCUUUCUCCCCUCUCCCUCCAUCAUCCCUUUGUUUUGAACGAAAUCCAAUUCCGACACCGAAAAUUAGCACUGUAACUACGCCUGCUUUCUAUAUUUAUUCAUUGCUUUAAAAUUCUUUGAAAACAAGCCAAACUCAAAAGAGUAAAAAAAUAAAGAAAACAAGUGAUGGCUUCCGGUGGUAAUAGAAAUGGUAUGCACAAGGGAACAGUUAAGCCUCCCAGUGCAGCAAAUUCAUCAAAUCUCAAGUCAUCUUCGUUCAAAUCAAGACUUCCUCCUUCAAAUCAGUCUCCAGGAUCUGCUCUUCGCCGGACCAACUCCGCUUCUUUCACCACCGCCGCCAGAGACGACGGAGUGCCAGGAAGAGUUCGAGUAGCCGUUAGAUUACGGCCGCGAAAUGCGGAAGAGUUGGUUGCAGACGCAGAUUUUGCCGAUUGCGUAGAAUUACAACCUGAGCUUAAGAGGCUUAAACUCAGGAAGAACAAUUGGGAUUCAGAAACAUACGAGUUUGAUGACGUGCUUACCGAAUUCGCUUCGCAGAAACGUGUCUAUGAAGUUGUUGCUAAGCCUGUUGUAGAGAGUGUUCUGGAUGGUUACAAUGGGACUGUUAUGGCUUAUGGGCAGACUGGAACUGGGAAAACUUUUACUCUUGGACGAUUGGGUGAGGAAGAUACCUCUGCUCGUGGAAUAAUGGUGCGCUCAAUGGAGGAGAUUUUAGCAAAUGUUUCUCUGGAAACAGAUUCUGUCUCUGUUUCAUAUUUGCAGCUUUACAUGGAGGCUAUCCAGGAUCUCCUUGAUCCGGCAAAUGAUAAUAUUUCCAUAGUGGAAGAUCCGAAAACUGGAGAUGUUUCUUUACCAGGGGCAACUCAUGUAGAAAUUAGGGAUGAGCAUAGUUUUUUGGAGCUGUUGAGAUUAGGGGAAGCUCAUCGAAUUGCCGCAAAUACAAAGUUGAAUACUGAAUCUUCUCGCAGUCAUGCUAUUUUGAUGGUACAUGUUAAGAGAUCAGUUUUGGGAGUGGAAGAUGCAAUUCCAAGUGAAAUAGAGAAGUCUUCUCACUUUGUGAAACUUCCAAAGCCUCUUAUCCGGAGAAGCAAGCUGGUUUUGGUAGAUUUGGCAGGUUCAGAGCGUGUUCACAAGUCAGGAAGUGAGGGACACAUGUUGGAGGAAGCUAAGUCUAUUAACCUUUCACUGAGUGCUUUGGGGAAGUGCAUUAACGCUUUAGCAGAGAAUAGUGCUCAUGUUCCAGUUCGUGAUUCAAAACUUACAAGGCUGCUCAGAGAUUCAUUUGGAGGCACUGCCAGAACCUCACUAAUUGUGGCCAUUGGCCCCUCCCCACGGCAUCGAGGAGAGACCGCUAGUACAAUAUUGUUUGGCCAAAGGGCUAUGAAAGUGGAGAACAUGCUGAGAAUAAAGGAAGAGUUUGAUUAUAAGAGUUUGGCUAGAAGGCUUGAAAUACAGCUGGACAAGCUCAUUGCAGAAAAUGAAAGGCAACAGAAAGCUUUUGAUGAUGAAGUUGAAAGAAUAAACUUAGAAGCACAAAACCGUGCUUCUGAGGUUGAGAGAAAUUUCACAGAUGCCUUAGAGAAGGAGCGGCUAAAGUGCCAGAUGGAAUAUAUGGAAUCAGUUAAGAAGCUUGAGGAAAAGAUGAUAGAAAAUCAAGGAAAGCAUGGAUGCGAUGGCUUCAUGAACGAUAAAUGUAAUGGGAAGGGGCCUGGUUUUUCCAUUGCUGAGGAUGUUGUUGAGGUCAAAAGGCUGCUUGAGAAAGAAAUUAAUAUGAGAAAGGAUGCUGAAGAGGAGGUCAACAAACUUAGGAGUCAAUUAGGGCAAUGCACAGAUUCAGGGGCAGGUGGAGCUGCUGAAAUAUUAAAGCUCCAAAAAGCUCUGGAGGAUGAGGGUCAUCAAAAAAAGAAGCUUGAAGAAGAAAUAAUAAUACUAAGAAGUCAGAUGUUACAACUGACUUUUGAAGCUGAGCAGUUGAGAAGGUGUCUUGGAAGAGGUGGAUCUGGAAAUGCUUAUACUGGUCUAGAUUCUCCCAUGUCUCAAGUUAGGGACUCUUUAAAUGGACAUAAGACACCAGUUGCUGCACUAUUCGAACAAGUUGGACUGCAAAAGAUCUUGGCUUUGCUUGAGUCAGAAGAUGCCAAUGUACGCAUUCAUGCCGUAAAAGUAGUGGCCAACCUAGCAGCUGAAGAAGCAAACCAGGAAAGGAUUGUUGAAGCUGGUGGUCUUACUUCCUUGCUGAUGCUUCUCAGAAGCUAUGAGGAUGAAACUGUUCGCAGAGUAGCAGCAGGUGCAAUUGCCAAUCUUGCAAUGAAUGAAGCCAAUCAAGAACUCAUAAUGGUACAAGGGGGAAUCAGUUUGUUGUCUAUGACAGCAUCUGAUGCUGAGGAUCCUCAGACUCUACGCAUGGUUGCUGGAGCUAUAGCUAACCUAUGUGGCAAUGAUAAGCUACAAGCAAAGCUGAGGUCUGAAGGUGGAAUUAAGGCCUUGCUGGGGAUGGUGAGAUGCGGACAUCCAGAGGUUCUUUCCCAAGUUGCACGUGGAAUUGCCAAUUUUGCAAAAUGUGAAUCCCGUGCAUCUACUAAUGGUAUAAAAAGUGGGAGAUCACUUCUUAUUGAUGAUGGUGCACUUCCAUGGAUUGUGCAAAAUGCUAAUAAUGAUUCUGCACCCAUCAGGCGACACAUUGAGCUUGCGCUAUGCCAUUUGGCGCAGCAUGAAGUUAAUGCAAAGGACAUGAUAUGCGGAGGUGCCCUCUGGGAGCUGGUUCGUAUAUCACAGGACUGUUCUCGAGAGGACAUCAGGAGUCUUGCUCGUCGAACUUUGAAUUCAAGCCCUGUAUUUCGAGCUGAAAUGCGACGGCUAAGGAUAGAGUUGUGAUUGAGUCAAAAGUUCGAUGUAGGGAUAUGCGUAAAAUCUUGCCACUGUAUAGGCUAAGGUUGAGAGUAUUUAUACCCUAAGCUGAAAGAUCAUCAAGGGAGCACCUGGUUCGGCACAAUUUUUAUUUCGAAGGAAAUGUGCGGUGGGUUUGUAACAUAUGUUUUCUAGUUUCUUCAUUGAGCUUUUAGCAUAUCUGUAGGUAAAUGCAGAAAAAACCGAAAAAGGUUGGGAUCCAUGAAGAAAAAUUUUGUAGGUGAUUGAGUUGAGUUUCGCCAAAAGGUGGUAGAAAGAGUUAGAAAGGUAAGAGAACUGAUUGAAUGGUAAGCCCAGAACAAGCCAUGUAAUUUGGAAGGGCAUUGAUUAAUUAAAACAGAAAUGAAUGCCAAAGUGGCAAUGGGUAAACAAGAUUGCUAAAUGCCUUUGAAGGAUGAUUUAUGAACUUUUGUCAGCAGUAGGAUACAAAGAAAUGUGUACAUUUACAUUAAUUUGAUCUCAAACACCGACCACCACCCUUCAAUUGUA